GGAGGUGUUCGUGAUGGCAUUAGCUGAACAUCGAUCGCUUGCGUUUCAUAGGCAGAUCUGCUCAGUGGGUGGCGUCACCAAGUGGUUUCAUUGUCAGCUAAGAGCGUCGUCGAUGCCUUUGUUCGCUCGACUUCGAUCCUGGCUCUCAUGAAUUCAUAAAUUCUUCCAAAUUUAAAUGGGGGGCCGGUCUUAAAGUAAAAUACACCUCCAAGUAACGGCACUACAGUUCGUAGUAUGCCAUUUUUUUUU
rnacentral:snRNA from 1 species